rnacentral:rRNA from 1 species
AGGACGAACGCUGGCGGCGUGCUUAACACAUGCAAGUCGAACGAUGAAAGAGGAGCUUGCUCCUCUGGAUUAGUGGCGAACGGGUGAGUAACACGUGAGCAAUGUGCCCUUGACUCUGGAAUAAGCGCUGGAAACGGCGUCUAAUACCGGAUACGACCUUCGGAGGCAUCUCCUGGAGGUGGAAAGAAUUUCGGUCAAGGAUCAGCUCACGGCCUAUCAGUUAGUUGGUGAGGUAAUGGCUCACCAAGACGACGCGGGUAGCCGGCCUGAGAGGGUGACCGGCCACACGUGGGACUGAGACGACGGCCCAGACUCCGUACGGGGGGCAGGCAGGUGGGAAUAGUUAGCUAACGAAGUGGGCGACGAAGGCCUUGAUCGCAGCAACGGCCGCGUAGGACGGACGACGGCCGUUCGGGUUACGUAACCUCGUUUAGACG